rnacentral:rRNA from 1 species
AUUGAACGCUGGCGGCAUGCCUAACACAUGCAAGUCGAACGGCAGCACGGGAGCUUGCUCCUGGUGGCGAGUGGCGGACGGGUGAGUAAUGCAUAGGAAUCUGCCCAGUAGCGGGGGACAACUUGGGGAAACUCAAGCUAAUACCGCAUGCGCCCUACGGGGGAAAGCGGGGGACCUUCGGGCCUCGCACUAUUGGAUGAGCCUAUGUCAGAUUAGCUUGUUGGUGGGGUAACGGCCUACCAAGGCGACGAUCUGUAGCUGGUCUGAGAGGAUGAUCAGCCACACUGGGACUGAGACACGGCCCAGACUCCUACGGGAGGCAGCAGUGGGGAAUAUUGCGCAAUGGGGGCAACCCUGACGCAGCCAUGCCGCGUGUGUGAAGAAGGCCUCGG